UCCCGACCCAAGAUGGCCCAGGCAGCCCAGGCGUGGAGAGCCCACCGCCCUCCUCAGGGUGCGAACCUGGGGCCGGGGACCCCCUCGGAUACAGUUCCCGAGUCAGAUACCGGGACCGGAAAGCCCGAUACAAUCAUCUCAUUAAUUUUGAGUAGCAACUAUUUAACCUCAAAUGAAGCCGCCUGCCUGCAGUGGAACAGAUGUGUGGUGUAAAAGAAUCUCAGUUGCCCAAUCAAGAUGAACAGAAUGGCUUUCUUCAACAAGAAAAUAGAACAUUCAUUUUUUAGGAUUUUAUCUACAACAUGAAGCAUUUAGCAGUAGAUGUCUUUGAGAACAUUCAUCUAUGACCUGAAAUGUCCUGAUCCUGAGAAAAAAAAGAGAUUCCAUUAAUUAAGUCCAUAAUUUCUAAAUGCAUUUUCAUGACUAAUUAUAUUUGCUUAUGUACGAUGUGGAUACAGAAUUCAUAAACCAGAGAUUAUUUUAACACAUGCACACAUUUUGUUUUACAUUUAGUAUACAAGAUACAAAAUUUUAAUCAAAUUUCAAAUAAUCUUUUAAAUUAUCUAUAUUUAUUAAUAAAUGAAGUC
rnacentral:lncRNA from 1 species